UCUAUUUACGAUUUUCACGUGUGUGACUGCAAUACGUUGUUGUAAAUCCACUCGCCACCAAGGUGUUGUUUCUUCAUCUGUGUGGGUACACGAUCCACCGUAGUAGUAGCGGUUUUUGUUUCCAUCUACAGCUCUUGAAGCAACGCCUUCGUUUGUGGUUUUUGAUUGUUGUGCAGGUUUCUUAAAUGCAAAGUUUUCCCCU